rnacentral:rRNA from 1 species
GGAGGAAAGUAGGGGAUCGAAAGACCUUGCGCUAAAGGAGCGGCCGAUGUCUGAUUAGCUAGUUGGUGGGGUAAAGGCUUACCAAGGCAACGAUCAGUAGUUGGUCUGAGAGGACGACCAACCACACUGGGACUGAGACACGGCCCAGACUCUUACGGGAGGCAGCAGUGGGGAAUUUUGGACAAUGGGCGAAAGCCUGAUCCAGCCAUGCCGCGUGAGUGAAGAAGGCUUCGGGUUGUAAAGCUCUUUUAGUCGGAAAGAAAGAAUUAUGACGAAUAAUCAUGAUUUAUGACGGUACCGACAGAAAAAGCACCGGCUAACUACGUGCCAGCAGCCGCGGUAAUACGUAGGGUGCGAGCGUUAAUCGGAAUUACUGGGCGUAAAGGGUGCGCAGGCGGUUUUGUAAGUCAGAUGUGAAAGCCCCGGGCUUAACCUGGGAAUUGCGUUUGAAACUGCAAGGCUAGAGUGCAGCAGAGGGGAGUGGAAUUCCAUGUGUAGCAGUGAAAUGCGUAGAGAUGUGGAAGAACACCGAUGGCGAAGGCAGCUCCCUGGGUUGACACUGACGCUCAUGCACGAAAGCGUGGGAGCAAAC